GUGGUUUUCUUCCUCCGCUGCUUAGCUCACUCUUCCUUCCCUUCUUCUUACAUGGUCAAUCAAGGCAGCCCUUGAAGGCCUUGAUCGUCCUUCAGCUCGCUGCUCGGGGAGCUUCUUUGCUCCUCGCUGCGCGUCGGCGAGACAGGUCCUGUUGUCAGCAUCUUCAACUGCUUUAGAGUACUGGUUGCUAGCUCUUCGGUUCUCCAUCUUCGUGUCAAG